GCUAAACGCGAAGAACCUUACCAGGUCUUGACAUUCAGAGAACUUUCCAGAGAUGGAUUGGUGCCUUCGGGAACUCUGAGACAGGUGCUGCAUGGCUGUCGUCAACUCGUGUCGUGAGAUGUUGGGUUAAGUCCCGUAACGAGCGCAACCCUUAUCCUUAGUUACCAGCACGUUAUGGUGGGCACUCUAAGGAGACUGCCGGUGACAAACCGGAGGAAGGUGGGGAUGACGUCAAGUCAUCAUGGCCCUUACGGUCUGGGCUACACACGUGCUACAAUGGUCGGUACAGAGGGUUGCCAAGCCGCGAGGUGGAGCUAAUCUCACAAAACCGAUCGUAGUCCGGAUCGCAGUCUGCAACUCGACUGCGUGAAGUCGGAAUUGCUAGUAAUCGCGAAUCAGAAUGUCGCGGUGAAUACG
rnacentral:rRNA from 1 species